rnacentral:rRNA from 1 species
CACACAAAACGGUGAGUUUGCAAUCGAUAAGCAUAUAUGGCACCGCGGCUCCACCCCCACCCCACCUAACGCGUGUAUAGUAGUAUAGAAAAAAAAGUAUCCCUUGGACGACCGCAAGAGGCAGCCAUGGCGACGGCGGAGGCGGGGGGCGAUGGCUUCGAGUUUCUGUCGGAUCCUGUUGACAGGUUCCCCCUGCCGGAUCUUGGCGGCGGCGAGUCCAUGCUCGACGCUGAACCCACCCGAACUCUGGUGUGCACAACCGCCUAGUCCACCAUUGGUGAUGUAGGCGAUGCGGCGCUGACAGUCCAAGUAGACCUAAACAACACUUGCGAGGGGCUGAGUUUGUCGGCGCUGAACUAUGAGGAAUCAACGGGCAAAGAUGAUCCUCAAGCCCCGGGCUAGACGUAGAGAGAAUACGGUGUCAUCAACCGACGUGGCCGCGCCGAGGACUCCUUCCCUCGCCUCCUCCAGGAACUGCCCCAUCAGCGGUGGCAAAAACUGCUCCUUGAACUUGGAUGGACCGCCCGCCCAGCUGCGCUGUGUUCUGCGCCACUUAGUUCCUGGCCAAUCCUGAAGGCAUCAUAAGACAUUCUGGAAUCUGGUUAGAAUACUUAUUGCUUUAGUUUGCUGCUAAGGUAGCUUAUCCCUUCCUGUGAAUCUGAUAGCAAGAUAUACAUAGUUGCUGUCAAAUGUCAGUGUAUAUUUCCUUUGGUCUUAUUUCUAUGUAUAUAGAAGUUCAUGUUGCUUCUUCGCUCAAUAGCUGAUGGUUGGCUCUCCUAUCUUAUUGUCUAGCAUACUUUGACCUGUGAAUUAUGUAUAUAGAAGUUCAUGCUGCUUCUUAGCUCAGUAGCUGAUGGCAGGCUCUUUUUAAUAGGGAGGCAACUGAGAAUUAUGAAGAUAGGUGUUCAAAAAUGGCAAGUUUUUGUGGACACACAUGUCUUUGUAACCUUAGAGCCUGCCGUGUAACAUAUUAUUAAUGCAUCCUAUAGAUGCAGACCUCCCCAGUAAUGAAAAUGAACACACCACUAGAGUUACACGCUAGCGAUAUAUACACUUGAGCGAUGUUUGAGAAAUUUGGCGAGGUCCUGUAUGAAGCAGGGCAGUACUCAAAACCUAUUUUUUCUGACGGUACCAUCCAGAGAAACAUGACAAGUGGUACAGGGUUGUGUACAAAGUUGAAGUUGUUGAGCAGGUCAAGGAACUCGCAUGUUUUGGAGCACACAUGAUUGCUGUUCUACCACACGGUUAUGGUCCUUGAUUUCCCCGGUAUAGACCAGAUACCAGUAAAGCACAUUGGGAAACAUUGGACAAAGGACACAAGAGUUGUACUGCCAGAGCACCUGGCUCAUCUUCAGAAGGAUAAAAUUUCAGUGAACUCAAUAACAUUCGGAUGCUCAAACCUAUAGACCCAUGCCCUUGAAGUUAUAAGACUGGGAGAUGCAAACACAAGUGCAUAUGAGUGUGCAAUGGAUCUCCUGAAGAAAGCAGUGGAUAAGAUGACACUUAUACCCACUGUGCAGGAUGGAAUGGGGUUGGAAGACAGAAUUCAGUCAAACAAGGGGAAGAAUAAAGAGCUGACCGCAAUGUGUGCACCUCCCAGCGGAUGUGCAAGCGACACCGAAGGUAGUGCAAUUGGUAAUUUCGUGGGUCUAAAAAGGCUCCAGAACGAAAACGUAAGGCAGUUCGACCAACCAACAGCAGGGACAAGCCUACAUAUGAUGAUCGCGGUGCAAAUAGCAAAAAGUACAAAAAGGCAGCAAAUGCACAAGCUGCGGACUGGUGCGGUACAAGUAAGCGCACUCGCUUUGUAGUAUAUGUCGUGAGCCAGAUUACAAGAGCACCAACUGUCCACAGAGAGGUGAUCUUCCUCAAAAGGAAAGAAAAGAAGCUAAGUGGUGAAACGGUUGUGCUGCAUGUUGUUGAAAAUGCUACUUAAAAAGGAGAUGUGCGGGUCACCUAAUCAUUCAGCAUUUUUAUUUGUGUGUUGUUGACGGCUCCUUGGCUGUUUGCCGGAACAUUGUGUUAAGUCUAAUAAUAGCUGUUAACAAGCAUUGUGUGCUCUUGUCUUCAGUAUGUCUGGUUUGUAUGCAUGUUUAUCAUAAUCUGUGAAAAUUCAGUGACAUAUCAUUUGGGGUGUGCAUGUUCCCAGAGGUUUCAGUAUUUUUUAAUCGCAAGCCA